rnacentral:rRNA from 1 species
ACUGUACCUUAGUUGCUUCGGCGGGCCCGACAAUCAGGGCCGCCGGGGGCUCUCAGCCCCGGGCCCGCGCCCGCCGGAGACACCACGAACUCUGUCUGAUCUAGUGAAGUCUGAGUUGAUUGUAUCGCAAUCAGUUAAAACUUUCAACAAUGGAUCUCUUGGUUCCGGCAUCGAUGAAGAACGCAGCGAAAUGCGAUAACUAGUGUGAAUUGCAGAAUUCCGUGAAUCAUCGAGUCUUUGAACGCACAUUGCGCCCCCUGGUAUUCCGGGGGGCAUGCCUGUCCGAGCGUCAUUGCUGCCCAUCAAGCACGGCUUGUGUGUUGGGUCGUCGUCCCCUCUCCGGGGGGGACGGGCCCCAAAGGCAGCGGCGGCACCGCGUCCGAUCCUCGAGCGUAUGGGGCUUUGUCACCCGCUCUGUAGGCCCGGCCGGCGCUUGCCGAAACGCAAAUCAAUCUUUUUCCAGGUUGACCUCGGAUCAGGUAGGGAUACCCGCUGAACUUAAGCAUAUCAAUAAGCGGGAGGGA